rnacentral:rRNA from 1 species
UUCGUAGGUGGUGCGGCAAGUUGGGAGUGAAAUCUCUGGGCUUAACUCAGAGGCUGCUUUCAAAACUGCCGCGCUCGAGUGCGAGAGAGGUCAGUGGAAUUGCAGGUGUAGCGGUGAAAUGCGUAGAUAUCUGCAGGAACACCCGUGGCGAAGGCGGCUGACUGGAUCGCAACUGACACUGAGGAACGAAAGCUAGGGGAGCAAACAGGAUUAGAUACCCUGGUAGUCCUAGCCCUAAACCAUCGGAACUUGGGGUGGCCCGCGUAGGCGGGUCGUCCCGUAGCUAACGCGUUAAGUUCCGCGCCUGGGGAGUACGGUCGCAAGACUGAA